UGCAUUGUCUGUUUCUGUGUAUGUGUGCAAAGGAUGCAUUGUCUUUGUGUGUAAGGGUUGCAUUGUGUGUGUGUAUGUAAUGGAUGCAUUGUGUGUUUCUCUGUGUGUAAGGGAAGCAUGUUGUGUUUCUGUGUAUGUAUAGGGAUGCAUUGUGUGUGUGUGCGCGCGUAGUGUGAAAGAGCUCCCUGUCUUGGCCCCUGUCCUAUAGAGCUGCCCCUUCUUCUUAUUCCCUCCCCUCUUCUUAUUCCCCUCCCUCCCCUCUUCUUAUUCCCCUCCCUCCCCUCAUCUUAUUCCCCCC